GAUGAACGCUGGCGGCGUGCCUAAUACAUGCAAGUCGAGCGAAUGGAUUAAGAGCUUGCUCUUAUGAAGUUAGCGGCGGACGGGUGAGUAACACGUGGGUAACCUGCCCAUAAGACUGGGAUAACUCCGGGAAACCGGGGCUAAUACCGGAUAACAUUUUGAACCGCAUGGUUCGAAAUUGAAAGGCGGCUUCGGCUGUCACUUAUGGAUGGACCCGCGUCGCAUUAGCUAGUUGGUGAGGUAACGGCUCACCAAGGCAACGAUGCGUAGCCGACCUGAGAGGGUGAUCGGCCACACUGGGACUGAGACACGGCCCAGACUCCUACGAGAGGCAGCAGUAGGGAGUCUUCCGCAAUGGACGAAAGUCUGACGGAGCGACGCCGCGUGAGUGAUGAAGGCUUUCGGGUCGUAAAACUCUGUUGUUAGGGAAGAACAAGUGCUAGUUGAAUAAGCUGGCACCUUGACGGUACCUAACCAGAAAGCCACGGCUAACUACGUGCCAGCCGCCGCGGUAA
rnacentral:rRNA from 1 species